UGGGGAAUAUUGGACAAUGGGCGAAAGCCUGAUCCAGCCAUGCCGCGUGUGUGAAGAAGGCCUUUUGGUUGUAAAGCACUUUAAGUGGGGAGGAAAAGCUUAUGGUUAAUACCCAUAAGCCCUGACGUUACCCACAGAAUAAGCACCGGCUAACUCUGUGCCAGCAGCCGCGGUAAUACAGAGGGUGCAAGCGUUAAUCGGAAUUACUGGGCGUAAAGCGCGCGUAGGUGGUUAUUUAAGUCAGAUGUGAAAGCCCCGGGCUUAACCUGGGAACUGCAUCUGAUACUGGAUAACUAGAGUAGGUGAGAGGGGAGUAGAAUUCCAGGUGUAGCGGUGAAAUGCGUAGAGAUCUGGAGGAAUACCGAUGGCGAAGGCAGCUCCCUGGCAUCAUACUGACACUGAGGUGCGGAAGCGUGGGUAGCAAACAGGAUUAGAUACCCUGGUAGUCCACGCCGUAAACGAUGUCUACCAGUCGUUGGGUCUUUUAAAGACUUAGUGACGCAGUUAACGCAAUAAGUAGACCGCCUGGGGAGUACGGCCGCAAGGUUA
rnacentral:rRNA from 1 species